AACGAACGCUGGCGGCAUGCCUAACACAUGCAAGUCGAACGAGAUCUUCGGGUCUAGUGGCGCACGGGUGCGUAACGCGUGGGAAUCUGCCCUUUGGUUCGGAAUAACAGUUGGAAACGACUGCUAAUACCGGAUGAUGACGAAAGUCCAAGGAUUUAUCGCCAGAGGAUGAGCCCGCGUAGGAUUAGCUAGUUGGUGUGGUAAAGGCGCACCAAGGCGACGAUCCUUAGCUGGUCUGAGAGGAUGAUCAGCCACACUGGGACUGAGACACGGCCCAGACUCCUACGGGAGGCAGCAGUGGGGAAUAUUGGACAAUGGGCGAAAGCCUGAUCCAGCAAUGCCGCGUGAGUGAUGAAGGCCUUAGGGUUGUAAAGCUCUUUUACCCGGGAUGAUAAUGACAGUACCGGGAGAAUAAGCUCCGGCUAACUCCGUGCCAGCAGCCGCUGUAA
rnacentral:rRNA from 1 species